AGAGUUUGAUCCUGGCUCAGAUUGAACGCUGGCGGCAGGCUUAACACAUGCAAGUCGAGCGGAAACGAUGGUAGCUUGCUACCAGGCGUCGAGCGGCGGACGGGUGAGUAAUACUUAGGAAUCUACCUAGUAGUGGGGGAUAGCUCGGGGAAACUCGAAUUAAUACCGCAUACGACCUACGGGAGAAAGGGGGCAACUUGUUGCUCUCGCUAUUAGAUGAGCCUAAGUCGGAUUAGCUAGAUGGGGGGGUAAAGGCCUACCAUGGCGACGAUCUGUAGCUGGUCUGAGAGGAUGAUCAGCCACACCGGGACUGAGACACGGCCCGGACUCCUACGGGAGGCAGCAGUGGGGAAUAUUGGACAAUGGGGGCAACCCUGAUCCAGCCAUGCCGCGUGUGUGAAGAAGGCCUUUUGGUUGUAAAGCACUUUAAGCAGUGAAGAAGACUCCGUGGUUAAUACCCACGGACGAUGACAUUAGCUGCAGAAUAAGCACCGGCUAACUCUGUGCCAGCAGCCGCGGUAAUACAGAGGGUGCAAGCGUUAAUCGGAAUUACUGGGCGUAAAGCGAGCGAAGGUGGCUUGAUAAGUCAGAUGUGAAAUCCCCGGGCUUAACCUGGGAACUGCAUCUGAUACUGUUAGGCUAGAAUAGGUGAGAGGAAGGUAGAAUUCCAGGUGUAGCGGUGAAAUGCGUAGAGAUCUGGAGGAAUACCGAUGGCGAAGGCAGCCUUCUGGCAUCAUAUUGACACUGAGGUUCGAAAGCGUGGGUAGCAAACAGGAUUAGAUACCCUGGUAGUCCACGCCGUAAACGAUGUCUACUAGUCGUUGGGUCCCUUGAGGACUUAGUGACGCAGCUAACGCAAUAAGUAGACCGCCUGGGGAGUACGGCCGCAAGGUUAAAACUCAAAGGAAUUGACGG
rnacentral:rRNA from 1 species